AGAGGUUCAAACUCCAAGAGGUCAUCAGAGCUUUUACACUGCCUUUGUGUUGUUUUCAUAUAAAUAUUUUUACUGGAACAAUUUUUGGCAGAUGAAGCCCACUCUCAGGACUGUGGAAAGAGGAGAAUUUUGUUCACCACAUGCCAAUGAUUCUGCUGAUAUUUGAUAGUUCCUGCUAGGUUGUGCCACUGCUGCUGUUAUCCUGAUACUCCCAAACUUGACUGCUGGAAUAUACACGAAGUGUUUGUGAGUUGAUCGAGCUACCGCUGCUGACCUGUGUACUGAACUGCUGCUUUCCUGACAACACUGAAGGGAGCUGCUCCAGAGAACCAUUUCUAAACACAUUCAUUUCCCCUGUAUCCUUGCUUUUCCACCACCUCUGGUGAGUGGUGGGCUAGAAGGGAAGUUAAAGCAUUUAAGAACUAUCACUAAAAGUUACAGGGUUUCUCUCUGUAACAAGCCCUGAUUGUCCUGUACUCACUUUGUAGAUCAGGCUGGCCUCAAUUUCUACACCUAGCAAAAUUUUGCAGUUAAAAAUAAAAUGAGAAAUAAGAAUAUAGAAAGACAAAUUCAAGUUAAGAUAAU
rnacentral:lncRNA from 1 species